CCAUUUCGCGCACUCUCUCACC
rnacentral:miRNA from 1 species